CAGGACUCUGGCAUUCUGAUGUGGGAUGUGACGUUGCGAGUGCUGGCUUCACCUGCUGUGUCACAACGUUGGCCCCAUUUGUGAGUUCUUUAAUGUUGUUUGGGUCUCAGUUUGUUUCUUUGGGUCGCUUUUUGUCAUGUUUCGUCAUCUCAUCUUUGAAGUUUUAUGUUCUGAAGUCCUAUUCCUACUCUGUAGUUGUAGAGCCCUGAGCAGUCAUGUGGCAUUUUCUUCCAGUGUCGGCAUUAGGUUUCCUUCUAGAUUGGAUGCUUUGUCCUUGGAAUACUUUCCUUUUGAGCUUGUGCUUGCGUAGUUGACAUCUGUUUCUUGUGCUUGGACAUUUCUACCCAAGUUCUCUUUUGCUGUUAAGUAAUAUGACUUUUGGACUAAUUUCUCAGUGUCUCUGACACAGCUGAGCCCUGGAUUGAGGUCUGGGUAUUUUGAGUUCUGAACAAUUCCCCUUUAACCUGGGGUCAUGGUGGUAUGAAGGCAGAAAGUGGGAAAGCUCAUUGGGGCAGCUUAUUUCUGAGAUUUUGUCCAUACAUUACCCUAAGCUUACAUAUCCCGGGAGAAUGGGGCGGAGUUAACACCCAUUGCCCUGAGCCUUACUGGUGAGGGGCACAGCAUGAGGAAUCCCACCCAGCGUCCUGAAACAAACCAGUGAAGGUGCUGGAGCAAGCCCUGUGGGGCAGUUGGAGGCUGAGCCAGGCUGGCAACAGAGGGAGAAAGACGUGGUCCCCACAGCCUGGAGCUUCCUUGGUCUCCUUACUGGCCACCAUGAGAGCAGGUGGGUGGGGCCAGAGAGGGACAGGCAUCUCCAUGGCUGCCUAGGACUGCGUCCCAGGAUUGGGACCCUGCAGUGGAGGAUCUAGAAGACUCUGAGCAGGUGGCUAGAGUCCAGUUCUACACGAGGUCAGGUUGCCAGGGACCAUUUGUUGACGUUUCUAGGGAGGAAUGAGGAGGAAUAGGUCCACUGAACAUGAUGAUGCUCGUGUGUUCCAUCCAGGAUGAGUUCCAAGGCUUCAGAAACACUCUCUUUUGUCUAAUUAGUCAUUGGGAUCGUGUCUCCAUGGAGACCAUUGUGCCUGGACCCACAAUAGACACGCUUGCAUCCAUUAAAGGGGCACAGUCGCCAGACGUAAGCUGUGGGCCCAGGGUGGAGGGGCCGCAGAGGUUGCCGGCAAAGUGUCAGAAGAUGAGCAAAGGCUGUCCGUCUCCAGGAAGAGAGACACUGUCCCUGGCACCAGUCCUGGCACCAGAGGGGAAAGUGAAACUGCAGAAACAGAGCUAAGAGAAAUUUGAAGAUGCUGGCAUUGGAGAGAGCAGUACUGUGAUCUCAAGUCAAGGAGUGCUGGCAGUCAAGGAAAGCAGAAGAGGUGAGGAACAGGCUCUUUCUUCCAGUGACUGGAGUGAGCACCACCCUGUGGGUGCCUUCAUUAUGGUCCAGUGGUACUGAUUUCAAGCUCCGGCUUCUGGAAUGCUAAGGCCCCAGACACACUGGAGAGCAGAGACAAGCCGUCACGGCUGUUCCAUUUGGAUUCCUACAGAAUCCACGAGCAGUGAAACAAGAGCGUCACAAGCCGGCAGUUGCUGAGGAGGGCUUAGGGUGCAGCGGGAGAUAACUGGAUCAAGAUUUCAACACUUGCAAACGGCCUUCAGUCAUCAACUCUAAUCAGCACGCAGGGGCUUUGUACACACAGGACCCCCGGUCUGGAGCAUUCUGCCCUCUUCAGCUAGCCACUGGGGACCCAUCUCUUAAUCUCAACUCAGAUAUCACUGCCUCUAGGCAUGCUUCCGGGUGGGCCCCAAAUAGGGGCUUCUAGCACACACCAGGCGUCUCUGAACGGGCCCCUGUAACCUUGGACUGGCUUGUCUUGAUCCUUCCCCACUGGACUAUGAGUUCUUUGAGGGUGGGGUCCGUAGCCAGCUCCCCAGAUCCUGGCAAAGUGCUUGGCACACGUUGGCUUUCAGUGAAUAUUAAAUGAAU